rnacentral:rRNA from 1 species
AGCAGCCGCGGUAAUUCCAGCUCCAAUAGCGUAUAUUAAAGUUGUUGCAGUUAAAAAGCUCGUAGUUGAAUUUCGGGAUCAAUACGUCGGUCGUGCUUUCGGGUACGUACUGGCGUCAUUGGUUUCUCCUUUCUGACGAACCAUGAUGUCAUUAAUUUGGUGUUAUGGGGAGUUAGGACUGUUACUUUGAAAAAUUAGAGUGUUUAAAGCAGGCAUUAGCUUGAAUACAUUAGCAUGGAAUAAUGAAAUAGGACGUUCGAUCCUAUUUUGUUGGUUUCUAGGAUCAACGUAAUGAUUAAUAGGGAUAGUUGGGGGCAUUAGUAUUCAAUUGUCAGAGGUGAAAUUCUUGGAUUUAUUGAAGACUAACUACUGCGAAAGCAUUUUGCCAAGGAUGUUUUCUAUUAAUCAAGAACGAAAGUUAGGGGAUCGAAGACGAUCAGAUACCGUCGUAGUCUUAACCAUAAACUAUGCCGAACUAGGGAUCGG